GUUACCACUACAUAUAUCUGACCUCGGGUCAAGUCAGGUUAGGUGCAAGAUCAGCUUGGAAGUUGGGGCACAGAAUUUAUUUUGAAGAAAUAUUGUCAGUCGCUAAUAUCAAACAUGGCAGGUGCGCUGAAAAAGACAACGGGAUUAACUGGUCUCGCAGUGGUAAAGUUGGCUCAUCGCGAAUUGGAUGUAGCGUAUGAUAAACUUCUACGCAUUUUGAAUAACAUGCCACAAGAUUACGCUUACAGAACGCAUACGGAGAAAUUGGUGAAGGAAAGACAAAACAUCGUACAGCAGAAUCCAACGGUCGAAGCCGUAGAAGAAAAGAUAGGCUGUGGUCAAAUCGAAGAGCUAAUAAUUCAAGCGAACAACGAGAUAUCUUUGGCUAAGGAUAUGUUAAAAUGGAAACCGUGGGAAAACUUGGUGGAAGAACCUCCGGCGCAUCAGUGGACUUGGCCUCCGCAUAAAUAAAUCUAAUCAUUUGGCCGACAUUUGUACAUAGUGCUCAACUUUCGUCGUCUUAUGCAUACAAUCCCGUGAAAUGAAAAGUACCGCUGAAUGUAUCGUUCUUCCUUUCUUCGCUGUGGAACACGAUACCGUCGUCUCCGCUAUAGUAAUCGUCGCUAACACGGACAAGUGCCAACUUCCUAUAGCGCGAUAAAACUUCCUUUGGAAUUGCACCAUCGAGAGAAUCAGUUUGUAUAAAUUAUGCGUAAUCGGCAUGCGUGUAGGUGUCAAUUAUUUCACACGACCGAUAGGCUGGGAGUCAAAAAUUGGUGUCCCAAAUCGAAUGGUUGCAGGGAGCGGAGUAUUGUUUGGGACAUUUUGCAAACGAAACACGUCGCCGCGUUCGAUGUCAAAUACAUUUGAUCCGAGCGAGAAAUCAUAGUCGAGGAGUAGAAAUUGCGGUAAAAGGAAUGCGGAGAGUAAAGAGUUUGAACAUAGAGAAAGAGGAAAAGAGAGAGCGAGAGAGUGAAAAGAGAGAGGGGGAGGGAAAACGUUACGCGUUACUCGGUAGUGGGGAAACGAGGAAGGAAUAGGUAGGUUGGAGGUAGGAGAACGGUUUUAACCAAGUAUUCAGGGGAGGGGAUUCGAGAGAGCCGCUGUUCAGUUCCGAUUUUGCGUCGCGCGCGACGAUAGCGAACACCAGACACGCGAAUCGCACUUCGUUUCAAGACGUUUCAUUGUCGAUACAUUGUUCGGUAUCGCGUUUUCGAGCUUCGUUUUCUUUCUCUUCUUCCUCUUGAUCCUUUUCAGCUGUCCCUUUUUUCGCAACAAUUUCUCUUUUCAAUUUCACCGCUAUACCAUGCUUCUCCAGACCUCUCAGUUUUCUACGUCCAUCUUUUUCAUGUAGCAAACGAAGGAUCGAAAAUCCGAAGUAAAAUAUCGCGUCCGUGACACGAGUGCGAACGCGAGAAAGAUACGCGAAAGUCGCGAGUUCGAAAGUUGAAAAUUCGGCCGCGGAAUGCGCGUGUGGUUCGGUGCAACGAAAAGUUGAUCACGGUCACGAUCGCGAACGACGCUUCGCGGAUGAUCGGUGACAGUGAAAUACAGGAUCGUAGGUCAUUUUUAUCCACCUCGUCGACUCGAAUGAAGAGGAGCGAUUUGCUCGUUUGGGAAUAUCGUCCAUAGGAUAUCGAUCGGUCGAUCGAUCGAUGGAUCGACUAAUUUGGCGAUAAACGAAGAGAAGGAAAAGUCGGAGAUCGGUGCGUAAAACGCGUUUCGCGAUUCUUUCCGUACUCGAAUCGAGUUGAAAACUCGUAGACUCGAGAUCGAAGGAUAACGCGAAAGGCUUCGAUCGUAUUGCAGCGCAGGGGAAACGUUCUUUCGCGCGGUGAUUCGAACAGUCGUAGAAUAAAUUUUUCUGCGCAGCGAUAUCGGCCACCUAAAAAUCGGACAGCGAUCGUAAAGGGUAUCUCGUCGUGUUCCAAACGAACACCGUAGAUAUAUCGAGUUAAGAAGAAACAAUAGCCGUGGAAGGAAACGCGUUCCCGUUCGAAGACAAUGCGCGUAAUUUCGUGGAACGCGACGAAACGAAAGCGGCUAGGAUAUUGCCCUCGCUCGAACGAAACUAGCGAAAACGCUCGCCGCGUUCGCUCGUAGCUUCGGCUCGGAUCGACGAGAUUUCCGUUUCACGCGAAAAGGUAGAAGGAAGAUCGCGCGCGAACGAAUCGGAAGAACGUUAACGCGGCGUGACGUUGGCCCGUUACGCGGUCCAUGCUCCGCGCUUUGCGCUCCGUGCUUCAGCUACUGGCUGAAUGCUCGUUCGCGAAUCAACCGAACCGUUCGAGAGUCGACGAAGAAUCGCGGAGACGCGAGAUGUCCGUCGGAAAAGAAGGCGAGGCUCGUUUACCGGCAAGGCUGAUCGUUAUCGUUUUAACGCGUUUGCUUACGUAACGCGCGCGUAAACUCGUCCCUUUUUCUCGAUUAUCCGAACCGCAUUCUUCUUGCUUGGUCGACUCGGAAUCGUGUCUCGCGACAACGAACUGCCGAUAAAUCGAGUCGUCGAUCGUAGGUACUCGCGUUACGGAUCGCGAUCUCGAUCGGCCGGCUAAAUCGAGAAAGAAGGAAUUUGCGAACCUCGAGAGGUUUCGGAAUUGCUUCGAACGGAAGGACAGACACACACGGCAGUCACGUCGAAGGAGUAAAAUAUCGAAGAGACCGGUCCGCCUCGUCGCAACGUUUUACCGUUUUGAUCUUACCGGUUCACGGGUUCCGGCCUCGAUCGAGGCAAUCUUGCUCCUACGGAGUCGAGACGAAUCGAAUCGAACCGAACCGAACCGAUUCAUCUUCCGGAGUACACGGUGCUUGGCGUAGUCGCGCGUAUCGCGAAUGCGACUCGCUCGAACGAGCUCGUCGCGGUCCGUUCGCUCGCCUCGGUUGCGUUCGAAAUUCGCGUCGAUUCGUCGAUCCGCGCUUGUCGACGAUACUCACCGUACGGUCGCCUAGAUUCGUCGCUUCCGCUUUCCUAGAAACAACGACGCUGAACGUCGUGUGUCCGAACGAGACGCGAAUCGCUAUCUUCGAACAUCGUAGGAACUCGCAACGACCGUUCGCGUCGUUUCGCGUUUACGCGAGUAACUUUCACUUCUCGAUAGCCGUUAUUCGCCGUUCGCGCCCGCCAAGAAUGUUUUGCGAACGGGUUAGUCGUCGCGAUUUAACAGCGUUGUACCGACGAGAUUCCGUGACAAACGCAACGUCCUGGCGAGACGAGCGACAAAGAAACGAACUCGAGAUUCCGAACGAAAACUGAGGCGCGUAACGUUCGAUUCGAUGUAAGAGGUAGGCGUUCGGCGAUCGAGAACGGAUAGGAAAACGUUCCUGCCGUUUACCUUUGUUUUUCUCGCCUCCAAGAUCAGAGAGACCGUUCGAGACGCUCGUUUCUCUUGACCACCUUCGAAACGAUUCACGAUCUUCGACGAUCCAAGCGCGCGGCGAAGAUUGCGAUCGAGAAAGUUUUCGUCUCGCGAAGAGAAAC